GUUAUUUCUUUCAAUUGCGUCUUCUGCAUUUUGUUUUGCCCUAGGACAUGUUGUUCUCAAUGUGUGUUUGUUACUAUUGUCAUUACCGCUUGAUAACUCAUUGUAUGUCGCAAGCUGCCGAUAAACAAACAAACGCACCCAGACGUUAUUACCUUUUACGAUGCUCGUGGUAUUUUUCUUAUUUUCGGUUUUUAAGGUAGCAUUAGCUCGCUAGCAUUACUACAGUAGACCACCAGGUAGCCCUAUACUGCUCCCUGUUGGAUUUAAUUCAGCGAAUAAAUACAAGAAGCCAUCUUUACAUUUGACCGUCUGCAACAGUAUUCCUACAGUUGACCCUCCAUCUGAAACAACAAACUAUGGCGGCAGCAACCAAGAAGCUUCGCAAACUCGCACAAAGAGAAGGAAAUGCUGGCACUUGUUGAGUCUGAACGGCAAAGCACUUUUGAGAUCAUGACCGGAAACCCUGCCAGAGUGAAAUGUCUGAAAAAGAUGUCAAGUUUGUCUGCACCUGAAUUAGAAAGUGUUGCACUUCAGAUGUAGACCUACAAAUACAACCUCUAUGUUCAUGAAUGCAGAGGUUCAGUAGAAAUGACACAUUAUAACUUUGUCAUCCCAAGGUUAACAAGAGUUUUUAAUCAAUUAUUUUGUAGUUCCAAAUAAUCACAGAGGAGGUUCCGGACCUCUUUGACAUGACUUUGGUCCAAACUGGUCUAUGAGUGUUUUACUUCCUGUAUUUUUUUUUCCAGCCAGUGACUUUUUGUCAAUCAGUCUUCUGUAUGUAUAUAAAAUAUAGUGCACUGCAUACACAUUAUAGUCCAGUCGAAAUGAAAACAUGCAGUACCGUUUUAUAUCUUAAUUUAUACACUAUUUAUACACUUAUCAUGUGAAGUGUAUAAUUUACCACCUGCAGCCAUUUCCAAGACAUAAUUCUCCAACAUUUUUUUUUUAAUAAUUAAAACAAGCUCUGAGAUUUUGAAAUUAUGUGACUGAAAGUCGUAUAGCAAACUGUGAAUGAGUUUAACUCAUACAGCACAUGCAUGUAAUGCUUCAGCCUCAUGUCUUAUGUAUUGAAUAAACCUGGCAUAAUA